GCCGGCCCCGCCCCAAACAUUUCUGAAGAUGAGCAGCCACCACUUAGUAAGCAUCCGACGGCCGGUGGGAGGAGGCAAGAGAGUCCACAGCUGCAGGAGGAACGACGCAAACUCUCCGCUCAUGUCUACGGUGACAACAGCAAGCUGAUGCAGCCUGGCCCACAUUUUGGAGCUUAAGGUGCCGUCUGUGGUAAUGUGGCCAAAAAUGGUACUGCAGUCACGGUCAACAUUCUGUAGACCCCUCCUACUCUCCAUGUCUGAGGUUGCCAGAUACGCAACCCAAUCCAAAUCCUACUCCAAGGAACUUCGAACUCGACGAUUUCUACGCUCAUUUGACGGUUGGGGGCGGCCGGUGGGAGGAGGCAAGAAAGUCCGCAGCUGCGUCUUUUCCCGGAAGCUCUCCGCUCAUGUCUACGGUAAGAGCCAACUUUAUACCACCAUUUUCCCACCGAAACCUGCCGGUUGACAUAUGGUAGGUAACAAUGUUCGCUUGACCGCUCUGUUCCAUAUUAAAGCUUCACCUUCAUCUUUAGGGAACGUAAACAAAGAAACACUGGCUGUGUUUGUGUUGCUACAGCCGGCCGCAAUCCACCGCUUUCCACCAACAUCUUUCUUCUUUGACGUCUCCAUUAUUAAUUGAACAAAUUCCAAAAGAUUCAGCAACACAGAUGUCCAGAAUACUGUGUAAUUAUGCGAUUAAAGCAGACGAGUUUUUGCCGUAAUCGGUGCUGGAAGAACAUGUCCGCUACAACCCGUGACAUCAUUAGUUUACUAAAUUGCAAUUUAGUAAACUAAAGCGGCCGUAUUGGCAUGUGUUGCAAUGUUAAUAUUUCAUCAUUGAUAUAUAAACUAUCAGACUGCGUGGUCGCUAGUAGUGGGUUUCCCUAGGCCUUAAAGUUUCGUCCGUCUCACCAGACACACCAAUAAACUUGAUCAUGUUACAAAACUCCUGAUACAAAGUUGCCAUUUGCUACAUUUGUGACAUCAUUGUUACAUGUUACAAUGCAAAUUUAUAAACAUAUAGCAUCUAAAGUUGCCAAAUCGUAGCCAAAAGCUACGUUCGCUCUGCAGUCCGUAGUUUGAAGACCUAAGAUCAAGGCAGAUCAGAAACAAUGUGACCGUAGUAGCACGAGAAGUGCUUAAUUGUUGCAUAUAAUAAUUGAGCUAAAAGUAGAAAAUACACGUCUUCUUUGGCCUGGUAAGUUAAAGCAGUGUUUUUCAACCACUGUGCCGUGGCACACAGGUGUGCUGUGAGAUACAGUCUGGUGUGCUGUGGGAGAUUGUCUAAUUUCACCUAUUUGGGGUCAAAUUGUUUUUAAACCAGUAAUUAUAGUCUGCAAAUGAUGUGUUGUUGUUGUUGUUGUUGUUGAGUGUCGGUGUUGUCUAGAGCUUGGCAGAGUAACUGCAAUACUUUUCCAUAUCAGUAGGUGGCAACAGGUGCCAAUUGCUUUGUAGAUGUCGGAAAAAAGCAGGAGGUGGUGUGCAGUUAAAAGUGUGUCUAAUGCUUAAACCAAAAAUAAACAAGAAGUGAGUGCCUCUAAGAAAGGGCAUUGAAGCCUAGGGAAGGCUAAACAGAACAAAACUAAAACUGAACUGACUACAAAGUAAACAAAAACAGAAUGCUGGACGACAGCAAAGACUUACUGUGGAGCAAAGACGGCGUCCACAUCCGAACAUGUCAUGACAAUCAACAAUGUCCCUACAAAGAAGGAUUGAAAUAAUUUUGAAUUGCUAAAACAAAGUAGAUGCGGAAAAUAUCGCUGAAAAAGACAUGAAACUGCUAUAGGAAAAUACCAAAAAAGGAGAAAAAUCCACCAAAAUAGGAGUGCAAGACAAUAACUAAAACACUACACACAGGAAAACAGCACAAAACUCAAAAAAAGUCAGUGCGUGAUGUGACAGGUGGUGACAGUACACCUACUUUGAGACAAGAGCUAUAGUGAUGCAUGCUUGGUUAUGGUUUAAGGUCAUAUCCAACAAUUGCGACAACAACGCAACCUUAAAGUGAAUAAGCGGUAGAAAAUGGAUGGAUGGAUGGACUUUAUACUGUCAACCGAGUUUCGUUUUUUAAUUAUUUCUGCUUAUGGUGUGCCUUUGGAUUUUUUUUACGUAAAAAAGGUGCCUUGGCUCAAAAAAACAUUGAUAAACACUCAGUUAAAGGCUAACAUUACCACCAGACCUAUGCAAGCGUCAAUAUAUACCUGGAUGUUGCAGAAAAAAGACCAUAUAUUUUUUUAACCGAUUUCCGAACUCUAAAUGGGUGAAUUUUGGUGAAUUAAACGCCUUUCUAUUUAUCGCUCUCGGAGCAAUGUCAGAACGUGACGUCACACAGGUAAUAAAGCCGCCAUUUUGUCAAACACAUUACAAACACCGCAUCUCAUCUCUGUUAUUUUCCGUUUUUUCGACCAUUUUCUGGAACCUUGGAGACAUCAUGCCUCGUCGGUGUGUUGUCGGAGGGUGUAACAACACUAACAGGGAGGGAUUCAAGUUGCACCACUGGCCCAAAGAUGCGAAAGUGGCAAGAAAUUGGACAAAAUUUGUUGAAAAUACGAGGGUGUGGGGAAAGACGACGAAACGGUCAGUCGUUUGUUCCGCACACUUUACCGCCGAAAGCUAUGCUACUACAGAGAUGGCAAGAUUGUGUGGAUAUCCUGCGACGCUCAAAGCAGAUGCAUUUCCAACAUUAAAGUCAAAGAAAUCUUCCGCCAGACCCCCAUCGAAUGUACCGGAGUGUCUGCACAUUUUACCGGCGGUACUAAGGCAGACAUGGCACAGAGAUGUGUGGAUAACCUGCAGAUGCAUUUGCAACGAUAAAGUCAACGAAAUCACAAAGGUGGGUUUUGUUGAUGUUGACUUAUUUGCUAAUCAGACAUAUUUGGUCGCGGCGUGACUGCCAGUUAAUCGAUGCUAAGAUGUUACGCUAAUCGACGCUAACAUGCUAUUUACCGGCGGUACUAAGGCAGACAUGGCACAGAGAUGUAUGGAUAACCUGCAGAUGCAUUUGCAACAAUAAAGUCAACUAAAUCACAAAGGUGAGUUUUGUUGGCUGCCCCCGAGACCCGACCUCGGAUAAGUGGAAGAAGAUAGAUGUGGAUGUGCCACCUAUAAACCAUCAGAUACUAAAGCCCAAAAAAAUUGCCUACUACUAGCAAAAAUAAGUAAAAAAAACAACAAAAGUCUAUGGAGAGCAUUUUUGCAAAGGGAAAAGGCCAGGGGCUCCCACUAAUUGAUUGAUUGAUUGAUUGAUACUUUUAUUAGUAGAUUGCACAGUUCAGUACAUAUUUUGUACAAUUGACCACUAAAUGGUAACACCCCAAUAAGUUUUUCAACUUGUUUAAGUCGGGGUCCACGUUAAUCAAUUCAUCAAUUUAAGGUUUUACUACUUACGUAUAAAAUACUACACGGUCUAGCUCCAGCCUAUCUUGCCGAUUGUAUUGUACCGUAUGUCCCGGCAAGAAAUCUGCGUUCAAAAGACUCCGGCUUAUUAGUGAUUCCUAGAGCUCAAAAAAAGUCUGCGGGCUAUAGAGCGUUUUCCGUUCGGGCUCCAGUACUCUGGAAUGCCCUACCGGUAACAGUUCGAGAUGCUACCUCAGUAGAAGCAUUUAAGUCUCAUCUUAAAACUCAUCUGUAUACUCUAGCCUUUAAAUAGACCUCCUUUUUAGACCAGUUGAUCUGCCGCUUCUUUUCUUUCUCCUAUGUCCCCCCCUCCCUUGUGGAGGGGGUCCGGUCCGAUGACCAUGGAUGAAGUACUGACUGUCCAGAGUCGAGACCCAGGAUGGACCGCUCGUCGGGACCCAGGAUGGACCGCUCGCCUGUAUCGGUUGGGGACAUCUCUACGCUGCUGAUCCGCUUGAGAUGGUUUCCUGUGGACGGGACUCUCACUGCUGUCUUGGAGCCACUAUGGAUUGAACUUUCACAGUAUCAUGUUAGACCCGCUCGACAUCCAUUGCUUUCGGUCCCCUAGAGGGGGGGGGGUUGCCCACAUCUGAGGUCCUCUCCAAGGUUUCUCAUAGUCAGCAUUGUCGCUGGCGUCCCACUGAAUGUGAAUUCUCCCUGCCCACUGGGUGUGAGUUUUCCUUGCCCUUUUGUGGGUUCUUCCGAGGAUGUUGUAGUCGUAAUGAUUUGUGCAGUCCUUUGAGACAUUUGUGAUUUGGGGCUAUAUAAAUAAACAUUGAUUGAUUGAUUGAUGGUAAACGUUAAUGGUGAGUUUUUUUCAUGUAUUCAUUUUUCAUGGACCUAUUUUCUAUAUUUAUCUGCCACAAGUGGACGGCCAGUCGGUGAAUAUAAUGCUUACAUUAAACUGGUCCCUGGUGCAAAAAAUAGGUUUGGGGACCCCUGAUUUAAGGGAGCUAAUGCAAAUGAAGGUAAAUAAGGUCAGUGUGGCUAUGUUAACAAUUAGCAUGUCUUACAGGUGUAAUUCUGUAAGCAUGGCGUCAAGAUGCUUUUGCUUCGGUGAGAAUCACUCAAAGAUGGAGACUUAAUAAUCCCCAAAUUUUAACCGUGUAUGGAAAAAAAAAAAAAAAUCAUGCAAAUGAAGCAGGUUCUGAAUUGGAAGAGACGGCGUUUGGGUGACAUUAAUCAAAGAAAAAUAUGCAGACAAAGGUGACAGUAAUCCCAAUACUCACGCAUAAGUGGCACAGCUGUGAUUCGGCUCACUUCAUAGCUGAACAUGUGCGGAUCGCAGCCAAAAUGGGAAAUUCCAUACAUCGGGAAAAAGCGCCCUCUCUCAUUAAUUUUAUUUUAGCUCACGGUGAUCAAGUGGAUACUGACUUCUUUUUUCACACUUACAUGCCCCCGCCUUCCAAUUACAAUAAUGCAAUUACAUGUAACUUUUGGUUUUUUUUUUCCAUUAACACUCAAAGUUGGCGCAGGAGAGCGGAUUAAAAGGAAAAAAAAAAAAUGUUGCCCAGUAAAGAAGGAUCCGACCUGUUUAAAUGAGCACGGAAUCUUACGACAUAUACAUUGCAAGGUUGUCCUUUUGCUUAAGACAAUACUGCGUCCACCUGUGUAGUUUAAAUACAAAUACCUAUUACCGACCUUCUGUUCAGUAUUCCUUCAGAAACUGUUGAGACCAACACAGUCCAACACACCCUUGUUUGGUGUUCAGGUAUGGGCGACCCGUUUUCAUUUUUUAUUAAUAGAAAAAUGAUACAAUUAUUUAAUUUUUCAAACUGAGACUCAAUGACUUUGGCUCUUUUUCUGUGAAAAACAUAUAUCAGAAUACAUAUUCAGAGACCACACACCAUACACCUCUCCUACACAUUUCAAUGACAUAUAAGAUGUCCGGGUCCAUUGGACCCAGGGCUAAUAGAAGUGUGGAAAUUGAUGUUCUGUGUAACACACACACACACACACACACACACAGGAGGAGGACAGGGUGUAGGUACACAGAACAUCAAAGGGUCAAAAUGUGCGAGAAAAUGAGAGCAAACAGUGUUGACGAACAAUGUUGCAACCUUGUGUGGGAACCGCGGGUGCAGAAACACAAAAGAAGAAUGCCUGUGGGAUGCAGGAACUGGCAGAUACAUUUUCCAUGCAACAUUCAUAUUGUUGUUACUCAGCCAGUAAACAACCUUACCCAAAUAAACAUCUGUGUAUUGGGGUAAGGUAAACAUCUAUUCAGUAUUUUAACAUAAAAGUGUUUUUGUGAGGCAUUAAAAGACACAAAAUGCAACGGGUCCAUCAGACCCGACAAAAAUAGGAACAUUACACAAAGGUUAAGAAAUACAUAAAAUUGACUAAGGUAUCACAGAGCUAAGACAUCCAGAUAUGUAAGCUGGGAAAGUUCUGUGAUCUUUAGGCAAUACCACGAUCUACUCACCACAUUAUGCCUGGAAUAUUGCAUAUGUUUAUUUCCAUGAGCUGGAUUUUGAUCUGUAGGGCCUACUGAAAUUAGAUUUUCUUAUUUAAACGGGGAUAUCAGGUCCAUUCUUUUGCAACUUUUGGUCGCUAAUAAAAAAUCC